UACGUAGGGUGCGAGCGUUGUCCGGAAUUAUUGGGCGUAAAGAGCUCGUAGGCGGUGUGUCACGUCGGCCGUGAAAACCUGCAGCUUAACUGUGGGCGUGCGGUCGAUACGGGCAUCACUGGAGUUCGGCAGGGGAGACUGGAAUUCCCGGUGUAGCGGUGAAAUGCGCAGAUAUCGGGAGGAACACCAAUGGCGAAGGCAGCUCGCUGGGACGGUACUGACGCUGAGACGCGAAAGCGUGGGGAGCGAACAGG
rnacentral:rRNA from 1 species